AUCCGAAUCCAUCUUCUCUGUGUGUGGGGGCUUGGGCCUGGCCUCAGGGCUGGGGUGAGAGCCUAUGGCUCUUUCCAAGUCACUGGUGGUUUCUAGACCCCCAGGCAAUCCCUGAGCUGGAAGGCAUUGAAAUCCUCAACUCAAGUGCUGUGCUGGUCAAGUGGCGGCCGGUGGACCUGGCCCAGGUCAAGGGCCACCUCCGCGGAUACAAUGUGACGUACUGGAGGGAGGGCAGUCAGAGGAAGCACAGCAAGAGACAUAUCCACAAAGACCAUGUGGUGGUGCCCGCCAACACUACCAGUGUCAUCCUCAGUGGCUUGCGGCCCUAUAGCUCCUACCACCUGGAGGUGCAGGCCUUUAACGGGCGAGGAUUGGGGCCCGCCAGCGAGUUCACCUUCAGCACCCCAGAGGGAGUGCCUGGCCACCCCGAGGCGUUGCACCUGGAGUGCCAGUCGAACACCAGCCUGCUGCUGCGCUGGCAGCCCCCACUCAGCCACAACGGCGUGCUCACCGGCUACGUGCUCUCCUAUCACCCCCUGGAUGAGGGGGGCAAGGGGCAGCUGUCCUU
rnacentral:sRNA from 1 species